GGUCAAGUUUAUAAUAAAGGAUGAUUUUUGUGAUAUCAUUGUGAAUGAUACUACAAUUAUGUGUGGAUAAUUAAAAUAUGACAUAUACAUAAUAUCAUGGUCUGUUAGUGUAAUGUACACAGCCAGCAAACAACCUAAAUUAGAUAAUAUCAGUGAAUUCUAUCUAUGGCAUUAUAGGAUUGGUCAUGUGAAUAAGAAUAGGAUUGAUAGGUUAAUUAAGGAAUGUGUCUUUGAGAUAGAUGAUUGUGA
rnacentral:lncRNA from 1 species